AUCAACAGUCAUGAAUGCUUUCUUUUAAAAGACUCCGGCUGCAUUGUUGACCUAUAGACUAUACGUUGUCCUCUGGAACGCCCUGUGGUGGGUGAUGCCUGCUUUCUGGCUGUCUUGAGAGGAAAUGGAAAGUUUAAAUCACGGGCUUAAGUACCAGAACCAAGAAUUAAACUGCGGUGACAAAGCAGUUCCGAAGGUCACGUUGCAAUGACAGAGGGAGCUGGCAUGCUCUCUUCUUACGAAGAUUGGUUCUCAUCUCGGCUCUAGCCAUUUCAUCCCUAGGUCUAGUGUGUCCCUGGGAGAAGGGGACCUCCAAACCAGUUCAGCAGUGAACCGUUUGAGCUGGGACAGUCUGAGAGGCAAGAGCACGUGGUGGCCUCUUGUCUACAGAUGUUCCUCCAUUAGGAGGGAGGGGACUGAAACGCAGAUGUCUGGACACCCCCUGCUGCUUCUUUUGUUAUGCAACAUGGCUCCUAAGCCCAAGCUGCCUAGAAAUAGAGAGGCACUCAGAAGGUAUUUACGGAGCAGGUCCUGUAAAUACUCAGGUGGGAGGAGUCAUGGGCAGAGCCGGGCUGGGGGACAGUGGUGUGCAGUCGUGUGUGAAACCAUUGCACUUCCUUCCCCACUAAGGGCACAACUCACUGGGGAGGCUGACAUUAAUAACACAAGGCCAGAAAGCCGUGGGAACCCGGGGCUUAGUCCAGUCCAGAGGUUGAGGAGGGCUUUGCUGAGAAGCAGGCUGCCUUGAACUCAGAGAUCCACCUGUCCCUGCCUCCCCAGUGCUGGGUUUAAAAGCGUGGGCCACCACCAGCCGGAGGAAGAUAUAUUGAGGGCGCAGGACGCAUGUAACGGAUGGAGAAGGGAAGACUGUGUCGGAGGAAGGAAAUUCACAAGAGUGACUAGAGAGAAUGCCGAAGGAUAAUGGGAAAGGGGGGGCAAAUCAACUAGAACAAAAUAUAAUCACGUGUGUGCACCGAAAUGCCAGAAUAAAACCUAUUACUUGAAAAUUAAUUAAAAAAAUUAGAAUAUAUAGCUUUCUCUGGCCAUGUAGCCAUUUGUAUUUCAACAUCGGAAGGAAAAGCAACAUUAGGUGCCUUCUUUGGUUUGGAUACGUGGGGAUUCAGGAGGCCUUACCACAUAAUAUACAGAAGUCACUCUUUGUCACAUUGGACCUCGCAUAAUCUUGACCUUUCGCCUCCAUACCACUGACACCUCUCACAGUAUUUUACAGUGAUGCUUCAGUACAGCAAGGGUGAGAGUUUGGCCUGGCUGCUGAGCCACCAUGCUGACCGUAACAACAAAUAUGGAGACAGUCCAGGUGGCUGGUCGGUGGUCACUCAGAGUAAGGUGGACCCGAAGAUAAGAUUGCUUUGAGGAGAAUGGCCGCCAGAUUAAAGGGACAUAGCUCCUGGAUUCCUGAAGCAACCCUACCAGUGAAAGGAUGUCGUCAAUCUCCUCCAUGCCAGCCAGCGUGGCUUUUUGCAUAGUGACAUCAGCAUGGGGUGUCCCCGAACUGUGGGGCCAUCUCAGUCACCGCUGAACUUCAACCUCCACGGCAAAGUGCAGCAGCCUCCGCCAACCAUGAAGGCAACGGAGACUGAGCGAGAACUAAUCCAAUGGCAGGAGCUAGGGAAGACCUUGGAUCAUCCGCGGGGGUGCGGUGGACAGAGCGGAAGCGGUUUCCUCAGGUUCAACACUGACGUCCCCGACAAAUUAUUUGCCGUGAGGGCUAACUCCAAGCAGCCUUUGUUAGAAGCAUAGAAAUAAACACUUCCCAGUGUAACUCGGGAUGCUUGGUUCUGAAGGAGGCCGAGGGCUACAGAACUAAUGCUUGAGCAUUUGCUCUGGGCCUGGCUUUGUUCGAGGGGGCGGGGUCCUACAGAUACCGCCAUCUUUAAUCCUCACCGCAGUCCUUGGAUGUUAGUCUCCACCAAGCAGGAAAGCCACCUAAGGUUCAAAGAGGCGAACUGCAUUGUAUAAAGCAAAACAGGCCUGGUUUCCAGCUUGAAAAGCUGCUGAGAGAGGCCUCCUGGUGUAGCAGGGGCCUUCAGACUCGAAACUCCUCGCUUUUUUUUUUUUUUUUUUUUAAAGCCCAAUCCCACCCUUUCCAGGGCACGCCUACGGGAUCUUGGUAUUUUUCUGGAAAGCUCAACUACUUUUCAACUCUCCGUCCCGAGAAAGCUGGUGGGUGUGUCAUAAAAAUCAAACCGAAUUUUUUUAAGUAGAAAUCGCGCAACUGGGCAUUUUGUGAUGAAGUCGCUGUUCAGAUACUGACACUGCACUUGGGUUAACAGACAUGACAGUGGAGGCUUCAAAAAAAAAAAAAAUCAACCCACUGACAGAUGUCGAGAGUGGAAAAAAAGGACCCUGCCCGUAAUAUAGUGAAUUGCUGUAUUUAGGCCUCCAAAGAUUCAAGAGCAUACCUUCGCCUUCAUGAUUGACUUGGAAAGAAAUAGAAAUUAGGACCACACGAGCCAAAUGCACCGAGUUCUUGUAGGCACCCUCAGGCUGUGCGAGGGGCAGCAAGCUCUGCGAGGCCUUCUCACCAACCACACUUUCCUUACUCUCUGUGAUGACUUACAUGGUGCUAGCCUGUCAGAGCCCCCUCAGGUUUCUUCCCCGUCCCAGAAUUUUGACUUAACUGGCAUUUAUAUCCCUCUGACAAGACCAGCCAUUCCUCCUCCAGCCUUUGUCCCACUCUAUCUCCUUCUGGGGACUUUUCUCCUCCAAGAUCUGGAUCUUUGUCGUCACCUAGGGCCACCAUAGUCUCAGGAAAGCCUGCUUCUAUCAACCUACCCAAAGGGCCUCUCUUGGGGCUGGGAAACAGCACAGAGGGAAAGCAUUUGCCUGCCUGGGUUUGAUUUAUAGCGCCCCCAAAAUAAGAUAAACGAGGGAUCUCUUUCUACCACCCACUUUGAUCAUUCUAUCCACCCACUCUCUAUCCCGUAAUUCGUCUCAUCUAUAGCAAGCUCUCUCUGUAUAUGGUUGUUAAGAACAGUGUUUACUGCUCUCUCUUCCUUUGGACUGAAUGCUUAAUGAGAGCAGGCCUUUUCUUUCCUGGGGUCUACACUGACAAACAUACGUGUGUCUAAUGUGGAAUGAGCAACUGAGAGAGAGAAUGGCCAGCUAAACUACAGACCAGGAACGAAAAGACUCUUCUCAGAGUCCUUGCCUGGCAUCUGAGAGGUCCAUUGAUCUUCCAAAGCCUUUAACCUAUCUGAACCCCAGCUUCCUCCUUAGAAGCUGUGAGGGAAGGAUGGGUGUGGAAACUCCAUGGAUACCACCUAACCUGUAUCAUCUGUGCUCACCAGGGCCUGGCAUCUCCUGGCAGAAUUCAGAGGAACAGAUAUCUUCGUGUGGCUGAUUCAUAUGUUUCCAUUUGUCUGUCAAGCAACCUCCUGAAUACUGAGCUCCUAGGGACUGGGGUCUAUAUAAGGAGGCAGGAGCUUACUCCUUGACUUAAUUGGGGACUAAUUAGUAAGCAAUGCUAACCAGCCCUUUAUUAGUCAUGGGUCUGAUGAGCUGAAAUGAAGCAAGGCUGAACACAAAAAUUCCAUUAACUCUAGCCCUAUUCACACCCAGUGUCAGCCAUGCCACUUGAUGGCUUGAAGCAAGCUGCCUUUCAUUUAUCGAAGUCAUUAAUUUUGUAGGGAGAGACAAAGAACUCGAAUCUCUAAGCAUGCAAGCAAUAAUCGCAGUUGAAGACAACCUAUUCAGAGCCAGGGACUCUUAGCAUAAUAAAAAUUUCAUAAAGAUCAAGAGAGAGGUAGCCCAGGCUAGAGUCAUGAAGAAGACCCCAAGAUUCACACUUGCUAAGAGACUUUUUAUUGUUUUGUAUUUUUUCUGUCUUACUCGUUAUCCAAGUACAAUCAGGACGCUGAAUCCUGUGAAUGGUAUAGUCUGGAUAGGCAGGAAAUCAAAACAGAACACCGUCUACUUAGGCUGAGCUGAGUACGACAUACUCUGACCUGCCUGCAGGAGGAUUUGUGUACUGGGAGUGGCUGGGAGAGGGCUUUGAAUGGCAGGGCUGCGUCAACAACAGACACGGCGUCGUUUUCAAAGCUGGCUGCACAAUGAGCCCAUUUUUCAUAUUUCCUAUGUAAUUGACACCGAUACCUCUCCCAUGGAGUGUGUGUAUAGGUCCGUUUCUCCCUGUCUUGAACCCAGAGUUUUGUGACUUGAUGUAUGGAAGAAACGACAUGUGUGUCUUACUUAGGGUUUCUAUUGCAGUGAAGAAACACCAUGAUCAUAGUAACUCUUACAAAGGAAAACAUUGAAGUGGGACUGGCUUCCAGCGCAGAGGGUUCAUCUGUUAUCAUCAUGGCGGGAAGCAUGGCGGCACACAAGGUAGACAUGGUGCUAGAGAGGUUAGCUGAGAGUUCUACAUCCAGAUAGGCAGCCAGAAGAGGGAGCUACACUGAGCCUGGCUUUAGCUUCCGAAAUCUCAAAGCCCACCCUCUCUGGCACACUUCCUCCAACAAGGCCACACCUCCUCCAACAAGGCCACACCUCCUCCAACAAGGCCACACCUCCUCCAACAAGGCCACACCUCCUCCAACAAGGCCACACCUCCUCCAACAAGGCCACACCUCCUCCAACAAGGCCACACCUCCUAAUAGUGCCUACCGGGACCAUCUUCUUUCAAACCACUACUAUGUGAGUCCCAAGACUAGAACAAACAUUUUCCUCUCUCGUAAUAUUUCCCCCCUUAGAACCCAGUCCCUGUUCUGUGAAAAAUCCUUGAGCAGCCCGUGUGGAGAGAGCUCAUGAACAUGUCAUGCAUAGAUGUUCUGGUAAUAUGCUGUCUGAAGACCCUGCUCACAGCCGACGUGAGUCACGAGACAUAAGUGAAGACAACCCUAGAUAUUUCUAGUCCCCAGUCUUCAUGCCUUCCGAGAUGAUGCCUAAGCUGGGGGGAAGCAGAGACAAACCACCUAUGCGAAGCUGUCUAAAUCCUCAACACUGAGAACUUACAAAGCAACAGUUGUUUCAUGCCACCCCCAAAUAACCGUGUCCUGGGGCCAUUCUGUAGCACAUCAAGGGUAGCUGGAAGAAGCUCUUCACCUGGCAGCCCUUUGAAGGGUGGAACAGAGAUGUGCUCGGUGACAGGGAGCCCAAGGCACAAGGCACUCACAGCACCUUGUCUCUGUGGUAGUUGUAUGAGGCCACAGGCAAGCCAGAGACCACCCUUUCCCUCUUACCUGAUACUUCCUGAGCUGUUCCUGCCUAAUCACCCCCUCAGGCUGGAGAAGCACUGUUCAUAAUGCUAUCCUAGUCUGUUACACGGACCCUACAUAGUCUAGAACAUUCCAUUUACAUUCUCCUCGUGAAUGCUGGCCAUCAUUUGGGUCUUUAGUUGGGAUGCUGCAAAGAAACGUCCCCCAAACCCCUGUGUAUCUCUCCAUAUUAGCAAUAAUAAAUAAAAAGCCAAUAAAUUAGAAAUGUACUCUAAGUCCAACAGCCAAUGGGAGAAUAUACAUCUGAGGGGAAGAAGCUGUAUGUGUGUGUGUGUCUGGGGUGGGGGAAGGAGGAGGAGGAAAGUGGGCAUUAAGAGUGGGUAACUUUCCCUCCUAUUUCAGCUUCAAACAUUCGGAACUUCUUUAGGAGUCCUUCACAGGACGAUCCUGGCAGCAUACUCUCUGCAAAGACCUCCUGCCAGAAGGUUGACAUUUGGGACCAAGGUGACCAGGGACAGGGCCGUCAGCUGACUGAGCAUCUGCUGUGGAAAUCACCACACUGGCUCAAGCUGUGUGUAGACCCAGCUAGGUCCUUUGAGAUGGCAGUGUAACCAAGAUGGCAGACAGAAGUGAGGGAUGUAGACCUUACAGCCGUGCCUGGUAGGAGACAGAAGGCUAGGGGCAGUCUCUACCAGCCCUACCCUUCAGGUCAUCGAGUGUUGGAUGGUCUGCCACGUGCUGCUGCUGACAAGAGCCGAGUGUGUAAAACCCAGCCCUGACAGGAGCUCGUGCUCAUGUCUUGGAAAUGUACAAAACUCUCUUUGGCUCUCACUGCUUGUCUGUGAAAACCAGGUACAUUUGAGAACA